rnacentral:rRNA from 1 species
UAGGGAAUCUUCCACAAUGGACGCAAGUCUGAUGGAGCAACGCCGCGUGAGUGAAGAAGGUUUUCGGACCGUAAAGCUCUGUUGUUGGUGAAGAAGGAUAGAGGUAGUAACUGGCCUUUAUUUGACGGUAAUCAACCAGAAAGUCACGGCUAACUACGUGCCAGCAGCCGCGGUAAUCGUAGGUGGCAAGCGUUGUCCGGAUUUAUUGGGCGUAAAGCGAGCGCAGGCGGAAGAAUAAGUCUGAUGUGAAAGCCCUCGGCUUAACCGAGGAAUUGCAUCGGAAACUGUUUUCUUGAGUGCAGAAGAGGA